GCGGCCUAUCAGCUUGUUGGUGGGGUAACGGCCUACCAAGGCGACGACGGGUAGUUGGCGUGAGAGCGCGAUCAACCACACUGGGACUGAGACACGGCCCAGACUCCUACGGGAGGCAGCAGUGGGGAAUCUUGGGCAAUGGGCGAAAGCCUGACCCAGCGACGCCGCGUGCGGGAUGACGGCCUUCGGGUUGUAAACCGCUUUCAGCGGGGACGAAGCGAAAGUGACGGUACCCGCAGAAGAAGCCCCGGCUAACUACGUGCCAGCAGCCGCGGUAAGACGUAGGGGGCGAGCGUUGUCCGGAUUUAUUGGGCGUAGAGCGCGCGCAGGCGGCCGUGCAAGUCGGAUGUGAAAACACGAGGCUCAACCUCGUGCCUGCAUUCGAUACUGCUCGGCUCGAGGCAGGUAGGGGAGAUCGGAAUUCCCGGUGUAGCGGUGAAAUGCGCAGAUAUCGGGAGGAACACCGGUGGCGAAGGCGGAUCUCUGGGCCUGUCCUGACGCUCAGGCGCGAAAGCUGGGGGAGCGAACAGGAUUAGAUACCCUGGUAGUCCCAGCCGUAAACGUUGGGUGCUAGGUGUGGGAGGCAUCAACCCCUUCCGUGCCGUCGCAAACGCAUUAAGCACCCCGCCUGGGGAGUACGG
rnacentral:rRNA from 1 species